rnacentral:misc_RNA from 1 species
GAUGAAGAACGUAGCGAAAUGCGAUAAGUAAUGUGAAUUGCAGAAUUCAGUGAAUCAUCGAAUCUUUGAACGCACAUUGCGCCCGCUAGUAUUCUGGCGGGCAUGCCUGUUCGAGCGUCAUUUCAACCAUCAAGCUCCUUAGCUUGUGUUGGGGACCUGCGGCUGCCGCAGCCCCCGAAAUGCAGUGGCGGGCUCGUUGUCACACCGAGUGCAGUAAUCAUUCUUCUCUCCGGGCGUGGCGGCGGGUUCCGGCCGUAAAAUCACCAAUUUAUCAAGGUUGACCUCGGAUCAGGUAGGAAUACCCGCUGAACUUAAGCAUAUCAAUAAGCGGAGGA